GACGGAGGAGGCAAGCGUUAUCCGGAAUUAUUGGGCGUAAAGGGUACGUAGGCGGCUGGUCAAGUCUGGGGCCAAAGGCCACAGCUCAACUGUGGGAAGGCCCUGGAAACUGACCGGCUAGAGUGAGGUAGGGGUUGCGGGAAUUCCCGGUGUAGCGGUGAAAUGCGUAGAUAUCGGGAAGAACACCUGAGGCGAAAGCGCGCGACUGGGCCUUAACUGACGCUGAGGUACGAAAGCUAGGGGAGCGAAUGGG
rnacentral:rRNA from 1 species